rnacentral:tRNA from 1 species
CGCAUAGCUCAGUUGGUUCAGAGCACCUGCCUUACAAGCAGGGGGUCCAUGGUUCGAAUCCAUGUGCG